rnacentral:rRNA from 1 species
GACGGAGGAUGCAAGUGUUAUCCGGAAUCACUGGGCGUAAAGCGUCUGUAGGUGGUUUAAUAAGUCAACUGUUAAAUCUUGAGGCUCAACCUCAAAAUCGCAGUCGAAACUAUUAGGCUAGAGUAUAGUAGGGGUAAAGGGAAUUUCCAGUGGAGCGGUGAAAUGCGUAGAGAUUGGAAAGAACACCGAUGGCGAAGGCACGUUACUGGGCUAUUACUGACACUCAGAGACGAAAGCUAGGGUAGCAAAUGGG